rnacentral:rRNA from 1 species
AAUCAACGCUGGCGGCGUGCCUAACACAUGCAAGUCGAACGCGAAAACCCCGCAAGGGGUUAGUAGAGUGGCAAACGGGUGAGUAACACGUGGGUGACCUGCCUCAGAGUGGGGGAUAACGACCCGAAAGGGUCGCUAAUACCGCAUAACAUCCUGCGCUUGGAAGCGUGGAGAUCAAAGCCGGGGAUUCGCAAGAACCUGGCGCUUGGAGAGGGGCCCGCGGCCGAUUAGCUAGUUGGGAGGUAACGGCUCACCAAGGCAACGAUCGGUAUCCGGCCUGAGAGGGGCGGACGGACACACUGGGACUGAGACACGGCCCAGACUCCUACGGGAGGCAGCAGUGGGGAAUUGUUCGCAAUGGGCGCAAGCCUGACGACGCAACGCCGCGUGGAGGACGAAG